rnacentral:rRNA from 1 species
AACGCAUGAGCUGCCGAAAAUACUGCAUAGCUAGGGAGUGGGAGAGGUAGACGGUACUCAGUAGGAAGGGGUAAAAUCCUUUGAUCUAUUGAUGACCACCUGUGGCGAAGGCGGUCUACCAGAACACGUUCGACGGUGAGGGAUGAAAGCUGGGGGAGCAAACCGGAUUAGAUACCCGGGUAGUCCCAGCUGUAAACGAUGCAGACUCGAUAAUGCACUGGCACAUAGCCAGUGCAGUGUCGCAGGGAAGCCGUUAAGUCUGCCGCCUGGGAAGUACGUACGCAAGUAUGAAACUUAAAGGAAUUGGCGGGGGAGCACCACAAGGGGUGAAGCCUGCGGUUCAAUUGGAGUCAACGCCAGAAAUCUUACCCGGAGAGACAGCAGAAUGAAGGUCAAGCUGAAGACUUUACCAGACAAGCUGAGAGGUGGUGCAUGGCCGUCGCCAGCUCGUGCCGUGAGAUGUCCUGUUAAGUCAGGUAACGAGCGAGAUCCUCGCCACUAGUUGCUAUCAUUAUUCUCAGGAAUAGUGGGGCGAAUUAGUGGGACUGCCGUUGUUAAAACGGAGGAAGGAGGGGGCUACGGCAGGUCAGUAUGCCCCGAAACUCUGGGGCCACACGCGGGCUGCAAUGGUAGCGACAAUGAGUUCCAAACUCGAAAGAGAGUGGCAAUCCCUAAACGCUACCACAGUUAUGACUGAGGGCUGUAACUCGCCCUCACGAAUAUGGAAUCCCUAGUAACCGCGUGUCAUUACCGCGCGGUGAAUACGUCCCUGCUCCUUGCACACACCGCCCGUCGUUUCAUCGAAGUUUGCUUUUAGCGAGGUGAUGUUUAAUUGACAUUAUCGAACUUGAGGUAAGUGACGAGGGAAAAGUCGUAACAAGGUGACCGUAGGGGAACCUGCGGUCG